rnacentral:rRNA from 1 species
UACGUAGGGGGGCAAGCGUUGUCCGGAUUUAUUGGGCGUAAAGAGCUCGUAGGCGGUCUGUCGCGUCGGCUGUGAAAACUCGGGGCUCAACUCCGAGCUUGCAGUCGAUACGGGCAGGCUAGAGUUCGGCAGGGGAGACUGGAAUUCCUGGUGUAGCGGUGAAAUGCGCAGAUAUCAGGAGGAACACCGGUGGCGAAGGCGGGUCUCUGGGUCGAUACUGACGCGGAGGUGCGAAAAGCGUGGGGGAGCAAACAGG